UCUAGAUAUACACUACUUUCUCUUCCACUCUUCCACCUCUUCAGUGCUCAUUCACUUUCUUUCUCUUCAUCUCCACGCCACUCUUUCGCCUCGACCCCCUCUCUCUUUCGUCACUUUCAUUCCUCUGCCUCUCUCUCCCUCCUCGACGAAGCCCUAAUGCUCUCAGUAAGAGCAUGACUAUGAACGGGAGAAGCUCAGCGAGACACUUGCAAACUUUUUCGGUGGUGUUGCUGUGAUACAAGCAAACACUAGAGACAUAUUAAAGAUGGUUCUCACCAGAGCUUACACACUUGGGCCAAACCAAUAUUGAAACAAGGAGAAAUUGAAAAACUUAUUGAUCCAAAGCUGGGAGGGGCCUAUGAUAUUACUCAGCUAAAAAGACUUGCCUUUGCUGCAUCACU